UUUUGGUCCCAGUGGCCAGCAGGAGUCCGGCACAACCCCACACCCCUCCUGGGGGCGCAGGCCUCCAGAUCUGCACGCAGAAUGACAGGAGGCUGCCUCAGCCAGCAAGUGACACAAGUU